rnacentral:rRNA from 1 species
UUACCACGGGGCGCAGCAGUGAGGAAUAUUGGUCAAUGGCCGUAAGGCUGAACCAGCCAAGUAGCGUGAGGGAGGACUGCCCUAUGGGUUGUAAACCUCUUUUAUGCGGGGAUAAAGGUGUCCACGUGUGGAUGUUUGCAGGUACCGCAUGAAUAAGGACCGGCUAAUUCCGUGCCAGCAGCCGCGGUAAUACGGAAGGUCCGGGCGUUAUCCGGAUUUAUUGGGUUUAAAGGGAGCGUACGCCGGUCUUCAAGCGUGCCGUG